CUGGUCCUUAAUGGUGGCAGGGAUGUGAGACAGAGCUCUCUGGGCUGAGGGGAGAGACAGCAGCUUGCUGGAGGGUCCUGUGCCCUUCCCUUAGAGAGGAGGGAGCCAGAAUAUCAACAGGCAUAGUUGUUCUAUCUUCCAUAAGCGUUUGAGUGGUACUUCUCUCUGAGUUUGAGGAAGAAAGAGAAGUUAACUGAUGGCUUUCUGUCAUAGCUGUAAGUUCUAGUAAUGAUACAGGCCGAAUGCUUUCCUAGUGGUGUGUUGAAUAGCCCUGAAACUGUUAAUAAUUACUUCUACAUCUCUAAUAUUCAGAUCUGUUACCUCCCCACUUUCUGUGCUUUAAAGCCCUUUUUGAGCUGUACGCAGUUUGGGUUUGUGGAGGUGAGGAGAGGUUAGUUGGUGUUUGUUGAUUUUUUUUUCUCUUUUUUUUUUUAGGCCAAAGAAAACAGGACCAUAAUUACACACUUGAAAUUAGACUGCAUGCAACCGAACCCCCUUUUUUCACUCCCUCCUGCAUGUUUCUUUCACUUGCAAUGUAUACUGGGUUACAACAAUUGUCCUGUGUUUUCAUCGUGGUUGGCAGAUACUGGAUUCCCUGUCUGGCAGACCUUCCAUGAUGAUUAUUUUUUUAUGCGCACUUGUCAUUUUGAGAACAUAUUUUCUAGACAUUUGAGCUCGGAUUUUGCAUAUAUUUAAGCAUGCGCUUAAUUUAUGCACAUGAGUAGUUCCACUGAAAUUAAUACUGCAGAAAACUGAGCAUAUGUGUAAGAUACGGUGGGAUUUUAAAGCUAAUUUAGCUGCAGCUGUACUCCCCAAAGUGACUAUAAUGGCACAGUGAGGUUCCACGGUUUAAAAUCUUUUACGAGUUAAAAGAAGUAAAUACAUCUUGGAAGCUCGCUCUAGGAUCUGAAAAGUCAGCUCACGUUCUGUAAUCAAGAUUUUUGUCCUAAAAACUAAUGAUCUGGUUUCUGAGGGAGGGUUCCAUUCCACCUUUAAUUAGCAGCGAGGCUAUGGCUUCAGCAGAGUGAAGCCCCCCUUGCUGGGGCAUCCGUCAGCUCCGCAGUACUCCCAGGAAGAAAAGCAGGUUGCUAUGUCAGUGAAGACUGGAGAUGCCAUUCUCAGCAUGCAUGUACUAGAAGAAUGGAAUCUCUGUGUUACAUUACAUCUGCCAUUGCACAGUGAUGUAGCGGACGUCCUUCUAAUGUCCUUUCUGAAGCAGGAGCCUGUGGGAGCGGCUGGCGGCAGUGCCCUGAGCCUGCUGUUGGGUGGACAUGACUGCUGCUGCUUGGAAAUGAAGGAAGGGAAUCGGGGAGUACAGUUGCUAUUUCUGUUGCCUGCUGCCUGCUUGUCCUUUCUCACCUCUUCAGAUACAAGAUCAAAAUUUUAAUGACUUCCUAAGUAGAGUUAAAAGCAUGAAAACAUUUAUAGUGCAUGGCAAAAGGGUAUCUUUGAGUCUGUGUUUUUGGAUCAGCAGAAGAAAGAAUUUCUGUGGCCUUGAUUUUUGUAAUGAAUACAAGGUAGUACAAACUCCCCCCUUCCUAACAUACCCAUACACCCUCGAACACACUUUGUUUUCAGCAAGAAAACAUGGCAAGAGCAUCCCUUCCUCAACAGUAACAUAGUUAUUGCAAAGUGCUUUAUAUUGUGAAAAUGUGCCCCAUGGAUAAAUUGUUUAACAUUUAUUUGAUCUGAAAUCGGGUGGGGGUGGAUGGGUUGUUCUUAUUUUGGUCUUUUCCCCCUGUCCUUCCCAUUCAGUAAUAGUAAAAAAGCUUUCUUCAAAAAGACUGUUCUUUGUACAGAGUGGCAGAUAAAACCAUCUUGCAAGACCUGAUGACAGUGGCAUGUCUGAGCACUGUGAUGGUUUAUGUGAGCAUUUCCAUUCUAUUGUACAUACUUUUGAAAUAUUCUAUUUAGUCAUAUUUUAUAGGAGUACUACAAAGCUAUUGGCUAAUUAAUCACUUUUACACUUGUAUAAUUAAGAGCUUAGUUUAAAAGAAUAAAUAUGGCAAACAGUAUUUUUGUGUUCUGCUUGCGUUGGCGUUUUGAAAAGCAUCAUUUAAAAGAGUUAGUUAAACUAUAUUAAUAACUGACUAGUGUGGUACAUACCACUGCUCUCCUAACUGGUAGAACUGAAAAUGCUUAAAUGUGUGAUGUAGGCCAAACUCUGUUUCAGUAGAAAUUAGGGGGGAAAGCAGCCCCCUCGCUGGCAGGAUAUGCCAUGUUCUGUUUUGAGCUGUGCAGUUUCAGAGUGAUGUGAGCUUGCACUGGUUUGCUGUGGGUUUGGCUUGGUGUAUGCAAAA
ensembl:lncRNA